GAUGAACGCUGGCGGCGUGCCUAAUAUAUGCAAGUCGAGCGAAUGGAUUAAGAGCUUGCUCUUAUGAAGUUAGCGGCGGACGGGUGAGUAACACGUGGGUAACCUGCCCAUAAGACUGGGAUAACUCCGGGAAACCGGGGCUAAUACCGGAUAACAUUUUGAACCGCAUGGUUCGAAAUUGAAAGGCGGCUUCGGCUGUCACUUAUGGAUGGACCCGCGUCGCAUUAGCUAGUUGGUGAGGUAACGGCUCACCAAGGCAACGAUGCGUAGCCGACCUGGGAGGGGGAUCGGCCACACUGGGACUGAGGCACGGCACAGACUCCUACGGGAGGAAGCAGUAGGGAAUCUUCCGCAAUGGACGGAAGUCUGACGGAGCCACGCCGCGUGAGUGAUGAAGGCUUUCGGGUCGUAAAACUCUGUUGUUAGGGAAGAACAAGUGCUAGUUGAAUAAGCUGGCACCUUGACGGUACCUAACCAGAAAGCCACGGCUAACUACGUGCCAGCAGCCGCAGUAA
rnacentral:rRNA from 1 species